rnacentral:rRNA from 1 species
UAUCAAUAAGCGGAGGAAAAGAAACCAACAGGGAUUGCCCUAGUAACGGCGAGUGAAGCGGCAACAGCUCAAAUUUGAAAUCGGCCCACCGGUCGAGUUGUAAUUUGCACAGGAUGCUUCUGGGCAGCGGCCGGUCUAAUUUCCUUGGAACAGGACGUCAUAGAGGGUGAGAAUCCCGUAUGUGACUGGCGCGCACCCUCCACGUAGCUCCUUCGACGAGUCGAGUUGUUUGGGAAUGCAGCUCUAAAUGGGAGGUAAAUUUCUUCUAAAGCUAAAUAUUGGCCAGAGACCGAUAGCGCACAAGUAGAGUGAUCGAAAGAUGAAAAGCACUUUGGAAAGAGAGUUAAAAAGCACGUGAAAUUGUUGAAAGGGAAGCGCUUGCCACCAGACUUGACGGCGGGGUUCCGCCGGUCUUUUGACCGGUCCACUCCCCGCCGGCAGGCCAACAUCGUCUGGGGCCGCCGGAUAAGACGUUAGGAAUGUAGCUCCUCGGAGUGUUAUAGCCUCUCGUGAUACGGUGCGCCCCGGGCGAGGUCCGCGCUUCGGCAAGGAUGUUGGCGUAAUGGUUGUCAGCGGCCCGUCUUGAAACACGG